AGAGUUUGAUCAUGGCUCAGAUUGAACGCUGGCGGUAGGCUUAACACAUGCAAGUCGAGCGGUAACAGACAUUUUGAUUUUGCUUGCAAAAUCUCGUGCUGACGAGCGGCGAACGGGUGAGUAACGCGUAGGAAUCUACCUAGUAGAAGGGGAUAGCCCGAGGAAACUCGGAUUAAUACCGUAUACGUCCUUAGGGAGAAAGAGGGCUUAGCUUUGAUGCUCUCGCUAUUAGAUGAGCCUGCGUAAGAUUAGCUUGUUGGUGAGGUAAAGGCUCACCAAGGCAACGAUCUUUAGCUGGUCUGAGAGGACGAUCAGCCACAUUGGGACUGAGACACGGCCCAGACUCCUACGGGAGGCAGCAGUGGGGAAUAUUGGACAAUGGGCGCAAGCCUGAUCCAGCCAUACCGCGUGUGUGAAGAAGGCCUUCGGGUUGUAAAGCACUUUAAGUAAGGAAGAAAAGAGUAUUGUUAAUACCAAUACCCCGUGACAUUACUUACAGAAUAAGGACCGGCUAAUUCCGUGCCAGCAGCCGCGGUAAUACGGAAGGUCCAAGCGUUAAUCGGAAUUACUGGGCGUAAAGCGCGCGUAGGUGGUUUAUUAAGUUGGGUGUGAAAGCCCCGGGCUCAACCUGGGAACUGCAUCCAAAACUGAUUCACUAGAGUACGAAAGAGGAAAGUAGAAUUCACAGUGUAGCGGUGGAAUGCGUAGAUAUUGUGAAGAAUACCGAUGGC
rnacentral:rRNA from 1 species